rnacentral:rRNA from 1 species
GACGAACGCUGGCGGCGUGCCUAAUACAUGCAAGUUGAGCGCUGAAGGUUGGUACUUGUACCAACUGGAUGAGCAGCGAACGGGUGAGUAACGCGUGGGGAAUCUGCCUUUGAGCGGGGGACAACAUUUGGAAACGAAUGCUAAUACCGCAUAUAAACUUUAAACACAAGUUUUAAGUUUGAAAGAUGCAAUUGCAUCACUCAAAGAUGAUCCCGCGUUGUAUUAGCUAGUUGGUGAGGUAAAGGCUCACCAAGGCGAUGAUACAUAGCCGACCUGAGAGGGUGAUCGGCCAAAUUGGGACUGAGACAAGGCCCAAACUCCUACGGGAGGCAGCAGUAGGGAAUCUUCGGCAAUGGACGAAAGUCUGACCGAGCAACGCCGCGUGAGUGAAGAAGGUUUUCGGAUCGUAAAACUCUGUUGGUAGAGAAGAACGUUGGUGAGAGUGGAAAGCUCAUCAAGUGACGGUAACUACCCAGAAAGGGACGGCUAACUACGUG